rfam:Triticum urartu cultivar G1812 contig900250, whole genome shotgun sequence.
CUACUACUCCCUCCGUUCGGAAUUACUUGUCACAAAAAUGAAUGUAUCUAGACGUAUUUUAGUUCUAGAUACAUCCAUUUCCGAGACAAGUAAUUCCGAACGCAGAGUAGAAC